GUAGUCUCGCACAGAUGCAUAUCAAUAAGCGGAGGAAAAGAAACUAACAAGGAUUCCCUUAGUAACGGCGAGUGAAGCGGGAAGAGCUCAAAUUUGAAAUCUUCAAGGUUUUACCUUGACGAAUUGUAGUUUAAAGAAGUGUUUUCUGUUGAAGUUUUGGUAAAAGUUCUUUGGAAUAGGACAUCAUAGAGGGUGAGAAUCCCGUAUUUGACCAUUAUUUUCAGCUGUGUGAUACACUUUCAAAGAGUCGGAUUGUUUGGGAAUGCAGUCCAAAAUGGGUGGUAAAUUUCAUCUAAGCUAAAUAUUGGCGAGAGACCGAUAGCGAACAAGUACCGUGAGGGAAAGAUGAAAAGAACUUUGAAAAGAGAGUUAAACAGUACGUGAAAUUGUCAAAAGGGAAGCGUUUGACACCAGUGUUGUUUUCUCGAAAAUCAAUUAAAAAGAGUUAGAUUUUGUUGUGUAUUGACCUUAACAGCUUGCAUUUCAAUUUUCUUGCUUUUUUUAAUGCACUUUUCGUUUAACAAGUCAACAUCAGUUUCUUUUGUUGUAAAAAGGUCAUUGGAAGGUGGCUUUCUUUUCGGAGAAAGUGUUUAUAGCCUUUGACUCCUGCAAUCGGAGAGACUGAGGUCUGCAGCGUAGAUCCUUCGGGGUUAGAUACAUUUGUGCUAAGUUAUAGCUUUUUAUAGACAACUUGUUGACUAUGAUUAGUCUUGUAGCUUACUCGCUUAUGCUAUUUUACCUACGCUUAGGAUGUUGAGCGCAUGUCUCUCUCU
rnacentral:rRNA from 1 species